ensembl:lncRNA
GUUACUGUCGAACAAAGAGGCACUUUUAAAUCAAACUUCAAACGUCAUUAUCAUAUCCGGUGCACCUGGGCCUUUGUGAGCCAUGACGAAGACUUUUAUCAGAGGCAAAAGACAAAACCUUCCACCGCUGCUAAUCUGUAUUUCCUUAUCUGCCCCUCCUCAAACCACAAUCGUAUGCUAACAUCAGCUGCUUUCUACUUCACACUCCAUCUAUAGGGAGAACGGCAGAUAACAUUAGUGCAUGGCUAUCGUUAGCGCUAUACUAACACCCAUUAGACUAUUAAUAGCGGUAUGCUAACAGUCAAACUUGAAUAGAAUUUGUUUUAAAUAGAAAAAAAGCAAACACAAAACCUGAUGACUGAUGAAAUGAAAGUAUACCCUAAAGCUAUGGGGUGUAGAGAUAUGUGCAAAUGUGCAAUGUAGUGUUGACAUUGUUGACAUUUUUAUUAUAUACUAUAUAUACUGUACAUACCAUUUAUAUAUAUAUAUAUAUAUAUUCACUAUUUGUAUUCAAAUUGUGAACUAAUCUGUCAUUAUUCUAAAUAGAGUAUACCUUACUUUGGAAAAGGCAUAUCCUUUAGCCAUGUCAGGGAGACUUUCAAAGCUCUUGUGGUACUCCUUAAGCUAUUAAAUGGUUCUGGUUUGAUCUGAGACUCCACUGCAUACAGGGAUGCGGGUCAUAGGGAACAUUCAAAAGUCUUUGACUUAUAGUGGUAGCAGCUCAAACAAAUCCACACAGGGAACAGGAAAAAUCCCCGAACCAGAGAAAAAGACAAUCAGCAUAUGAAAUGUAAAAUGCUGAAUAGAUGGAAAACAAGGUUUGCACGGUAGAGGAACAGGUAAAACAGCAGAGUAUACAACAGAGAAGAGAAAUGGCCCAGUACCACGUUUCAAGCUACCAAUAGUAAGCAAAGAUCGCUAUUUAGUAUUAGCAUUUGUUUUGGUCUGCGUGACGUCAUUUUUUUUAUCGAUGGCACUUGAUUGACCUAUUGGACACCCCUGCCUUAGUGACAAGGGCAGCGGCGGAGCCAACGGAAUGUCAGUGGAUGUCGUGUGUACAGAAUGAUAGCCGCAGGUAUCCCAGAAGAGCAGAGACUGCUUUAUUCCAGCUUCCCGAGAAAGGGAACUGGAUAAAAUGUGUCCAGACGGUCAGGUCCAUUCCACAAACAGACGUGAAGACAGGCGGACAAAUCUGUUAUGGCUCUGGCUGGAAGUGUGGGAAAAUCCUCUCUCGCUGUCAAUAUUCAUAUUUGUGAUCAUAUAUGUUUUUCUGUUUGAAUAAUGCUAACUGCUGGAACAUUUUAAUGCAAGUUACAAAUAACAGUUUUACAUUCCCCCACCCUCUUUAGCUGAAAUACUGCAAUUGAGGCUGUCAGGGGUUCCGUAUUGUAUUUCGCCUCACUCUGUAUAUGUUUACAGCUAAUGCUCUCUUCUUCACUGGGCUUAUUUCUCAGGGCCUUAAAACAGAGUGCAUUUGUACGUUGAGCAAGUAUACCAUUAUCUGUCUCAACUAACCAACUCAAGUAUCCAUAUACAUAGUUUAAUCCGGCAGCUUAAGUCCGAAAUCGACACAGUUAUAUUAUAAAUCAACGAAUCUUUGAUGAUGCCAGCCAGUAGAUGCAAAUAGGAGCCGUCUGGGAACAAGGCUUUGUAGACAGGCGCUAAAAGAAGGCAUUUCAGACCAAAGGUCCCUACAGGUGUACGCAGGCAGAUAGUAUAAAGAAAUUAUGUAUUUAUUUAAACAUGCACACAUGUUCAAAUUGCAACCCUAAAUACUACAAAAUGUCAAGAAUUAUAAACUUUCAUGCAGCAAAAAAUUCAAAGCGGUAACCACUCCACCUUGCCCUCUACUCACAGAGCAAAGGCUGGUUGUAAAAAAACAAUGAAGAGAGAGCUGACACACUUGCGUGUGUUUGCUGUGUGCUAAGUGAGUGUGAUGGCUGCAUUUAGCAAGAGCAGGGUGAUUAUGGUGAUGUAUUACCAGGAGCUGUUAUGGUUGGAGCUGACAGCUCAGGCCAAACAUUUUCACACAGACCUAUCUGGGGGGGUCAGGGGGGAGGAGUGGAGACGCUGUCAGGUUUGUUUAAGCUGAAGGAGCUUUGUUGCACUCUUUCAUAAUCUUUCUCUGUCUUUAUAGCCUCCUCUCCUCGGCUCGCUGGUUCUCUCUUUCCGUCUGGGUUUUCCUUCUCUGAGCCGUGUCUGUCCCUCUUUCCCUCCACACAGCUUCGACCUAGGUGGGCUGGGGACCCGGUUCUGCUCCUCUCCUUUUUUAUCCCUUUUCUUUCCCUUUCUUCUAUUUCAGGUGCAGACACAUAAUUAUGGGCCCGUACGGGGCUCAAAGUCAGUCUCCAGCCCCCCCAACAACGUGCUGCCUUUUAACUUUGUCCACUCAUGUGUUUGUUUGCUCUGUUCAUGUUUCAGUGUGUGUGUAUGUGCGUGUCAACACGUGCAGCCGUGUGUCUGGAUGAAUGUGCACCAUGCACCAUGCACCAUGUGUGUGCAAGUUGGCUUCCAGUGGCUGAGAGUGUGUCUCUUCUCUUUAUUUCUCAGCCUCUAAAUAAUAAUAAGAGCAGAAGAAAGGGAAGAGGAAACCAAACACACAAACAAAGACACAAUCACCUGGAAUGAAAGACACACUUCUGGAACACAGACAGGAUGCCUAAUAAACAAAUAGCCGUGUUUAGAGAGACUUUACAGAACGUCUCGUCUACUAAAACGCACUCACCCAGUAGGUAGGUGGUACUAACUCAUGGAGGGACAACACAGAUUAUGUCAGAAUCUUUAGUAAAUACAAAUAUUUUUCUCCACCCCCUGUGUGAGAAGUUUUCCUGCUCAAAUUCAACCAUCACAAGUUCUCUGUGCUUACAGGCCUUCUGGACAUGUUUGCAUACUAGUUUUUGUAAACGAGAUUUUCUUGCUUAAGCACUAAAUGUGAAUGAAGACUAAAGCAUCAACAUCUUAGCUUUUCCCUGCACAUAUUUCAACGUAUAACACAUAUUCUGCUUUGCAUUUUUGGCAACACAAGCCUGUACAUAUUAAAAAAAAAAAGAAUUGAAGGCCAAAUCAGGCUGUGCAUUUGCCCUCUGAAUAGAACUCAAGCACGCUAAUGUCUGAGAAUUUUGCAAACAACAUGAAGAGAAUGAAGGAGGGGACCAGUAAUGACAUUGACUGCAAUGUGGAUGAGAUGCUAUAACCCAUCUCUUAACAGAAGUCAGGAUCCAUAAACCAUCGAAAUUCCUUAACAAUACUCACUAUAUGUUUACCAUUGCAUUUGACUUUUUACUAUUAUUGUUUUGGUUUUACAGUAACAUGGUGUAUUGAAUACUAGGCUGUAAUAGUUUCUUUUUGAUUUGUAUUUUUUGUCAAAACAUAUACUUAGAUGUAAGAUAAAUAAGAUAUCGGUACAGAAACAUGUGUACUGAAUCUUGUGUGAACAAAAUUUUUAAUUCAUACUACAAACAGCAGUGUUUUUAUAGAGUGCAUCAGUGUACUAUUUAUGCUUUGAAAGAGUUAUUUGUGUGGGGAAUUCUGCAAAAACGCUUUGUGAAGUUUCAUGUUGACUGCUGGCGAAGUGGCCAAUUCUGAAUGUAUGGCAGAAAAGUUUAGGGAAGAAGUGAUGGGCUCUAUUUCAAGUGCAAAUAUUCAGUCUUGGUGAUUUAAUUGAUGUGAUGAUGGAAGGGGGGUUAUGCGCGGGGAUGGAGACGAAUGGGAGUCAUCAAUGCUGUGUCAGAAUUAGUGAGUGAUUUUACUUUUACAAAUAAAAGUUAAGAAAUAACUGUAUAGUUCCUAUUCAGUGGUUGAGGACAUCAAACAUGAUCAUUGUCACCACAUAAUUAGUAAGGUUAACUGGCUAGAUUUAUUCUACAAGAUACCACUGCUGACUGUAUGUUAUAGUGUAGUCGUAUUCAGAGAACUACUGCACAAACCCAACCAUCUGAUGGUGAUCACGAGGAAUGCAAAUAUUCCAGAAAAAAAACAGUAUGUGGACCAUGUGACAUCUUUGCCCAAUGAGUGUUUUAGCGCCUAGCAUUUAAAGUAUAGACAAUACAAAUACACACUAUAUGUCACUUUCCACUCUCUCUCACACUUUUCCCUGGUGUAUUUUGAGCUUUCUGAUCUUUCUGAUCGUAGCUCGCUAAUGUUUGUGGUUCUUUGUAAAGAAACAAGACAAGCCUCCUCUAGUUUGAUGUGGUGUUAAGAGUGCUCCACUGCGAAACCACCAUCUGAAAUUAGAUUAUCAUUUCACUUUGGAAUAAUGCCCUUCUCAUUCACCAGGGGAGGCCAGGGCCACACACACUUUUGUGCAACUGUCCAACAUGAUUCUUCUGGAACAAUUUUGCUCGGUCGGUUGUAGGAAUUGAGGAAUUUUUCCUUAUUUGUAUCUAAACAUUUGCAAACAGUUGUUAGCACAUUUGUACCAUAAUGAAGAUACUGGAGUCUUUCAUAAUUCUGUUGGUCAACCACUUUGAUCGAGAUGGAAUUAACUGUGCGAAUGUUGGCAAAUGUGCUUUGCAGCACAGUAGUUGUGGUAUAUUAAUAUUGGUUAAUUCUAAAACUCAUGAUUCAGCAAUUGUAUUUGUUUUCAGCAUAUUCUGUUGUAAAAGCCAUUCCACUACAUUUGUAUCGUGCAUAAUGAAACUGCCUUUUCUGUUGAUUUAUUUGUGAUGAUGUAAUGAUGACGUCAGGGGGCGUCGGCUAUUUAAAUGUCACCUGAGUAAGGCCAGGUGUGUUUUCUAUUUCGAGAGCGGAAGGAGAUACUAUUUUUGACCGCAUUACGCAUUACGCAUUACGCAUUACGCAUUGAAUUCUCCGUUUGUUUUGAGUGUGAUUUAGGUUGUUUUUGCCGAACAAUGAAUAAAGAUUAUUGAAGUGACAAUACGAGCAAAUGCGCGUUGAUUUUACCGACCGCUCUGUCAUUAUAGUGCAUUAACUUCAAGCAUUUUUUCAAGCCCUCCAAGGCAAAUUUGUAAUUUGCGAUUUUGGGCUGUAUAAAAUAAAAUGAAAAUAGAAACAUAUAAACUGAUUUUUACACAUUAGAAUACUCAGGGGCUCCACUUUAUCCCCACAGACAAAAUAUUGCACAGAUAAACUAAGUGGUUACAGAGUUAUUUUUAUCAUGGGCAUGUAAGUAAGCAGACCUCUCUGAUCAAACAUUAAACUGAGGAACAAUAGCACAUAUCUCUAGGUCUGUUGUAAAUGCUACUGGCAUAACAUUGUGUAAGGAAAUAUAAAUGAAUGUUUGACCUCAAUAAAAGCUGCUAUGUCAUAAGUCAUCUAGCAGGUAUUUGCCCCAGUGGAUUAAUCUUAUGCAGGAAGAACACAGUGAACCAAUUUAGCUGCCACAUCAAUUGUUAUGUCCGGGGUGAUAAAAAUACAGUUCAUACAGAUAGAAGAGCCGCUGUCAACUACAAAGAAAUACAUGUGUGGAAGGGCUGCCAAUGAUCUGUCAACCAGUGUCAGGAUAAAUUAUCUCUUAUUUUAAAGGUCUCAAUGUGAGAAACCACAAACAUCAGUUGGUGCAUGUGUGUGUGUGAGACACAGAGAGGGAAAGCAGAAGAGAGAUUAAUUAUAUAGUUGUUGUCCUGCCCCAGGCUCAAAUCGUGCUCUCACACGCAACACUGCUGACUGCCUGGUUGAGGAGGAUUCAGAAAAUCAGUUUUGGUUAGUCAUUCCGCAAUCGUCAUGUAUUCGAAAAACAGUUUAAUAUUUCAAAUCCUGCAUUGUUUACAUCCAUAAGCCUGUCAAGAGAUCAAGAGAUCAAACACUUUCUCAUGCAUUAUAGCAACCUGGCUACUAUUAGGGCUGCAACAACGAAUUGAUAAAAUUGCUAAUAACAACAAUCGAUAGAAUUCAUUUAUCAAAAGAGUAUUAUUACGGCCCUCAAAUUGUCGCAGAGAUGUUUGAGGAUAAAAAAAAUAGUUGAGCUGAACGUGGAGCAGAACGUUGAGUGUGAGAAUUUGUGAGUGGGUGAGUCUUCACGGACUGGUUUGAUGAGGUUUGGCGACAGGAGAGGGGCUGGGCAGGGAAUGGGGGUUGUAGUUGUCGCGGACGGCAACAAAAGCGCUUGGCUGACAUUUGGGAAAUGUGUCAAGAGGGACAAGCGCAUGGUACUGUCUGUUCUGUUUUUUUUUAUACAGGUUUGGAAAUAACUGCUUUUUAGUUUUCGUUAACCUUUUUGUUAUUGUUAUUUUACAUCCGCAUCAUGCAGAAACUUCAUUCAACUCUGACCUGCUCGUUGGUCGUGGUGUUCUGGCAGUGUAUCAGCUGCUAUUGGGUUGGUAGGUUGUCAUGCCAAGAUGCUCUGUGGGAAAACUAAUAUCAAAUUUUCAAUGGGUCCAGAUGUUGGGAAAAAAGGAAAAUGAGAAGAAAAGGGGAAGAGACAGAGUUUGUACAGCGUAUGAGAGUAAAAGAGCUAGAGACGGGAAACGAUGAGACGGAAACAUCUGAGUGUGUUCCUUGGAACGAUUCCCGCAGCAGUGGUUAAGACAAUAAGAAAAGGGAGACAGCACAGCGUCAGACUGUCUUUCAAACAGUAAACCAGCUGAUCCAGGUCUGGGUUCAAGUUUUACAAGGCCAACAACAAAAUGGUUCCUUUAUGCAAGAAAACACAAAACGGAGAAGGUACACUAGAUCUACUCAAUUCAGGUCUACUUUUGCAAAGACACUCGAUAUUUGGCGGUAUUUUUGCCAUGUACCCAGCAUAAUUUAAAGUUCCUGUGGAACCCUUUCAAAUUUCAGGCCAGUCCCUCCAAUAUUUUAAUUCUAUUUGGAUGACUAAGCAGCACACCAUUUAUUUCCUCUGCCAACCUUCUCUGCCAGGCCAGCGCAAGAAGAAACUUGAUUGGGUGCAAACUGUGAACAAAAAAAAUCCUCUUUAGACGAUGAGAAAGAAUAGAUCUGAAUCAAAGCAGUUUGUUAUUCACGGGGUUAUUUUUCUCAACAUUCAAGGAUAAGACUUGCUUUAAGGUACGGGUACCCCUGCAGGACAUGAAUGUAAGCCAGUGUCAUGUUUCCAAAAGUCUCUGUGCGUUUGUGUAUGCAAAAUAGACAACUUAGAAAGAAACAGGGUUACCAGUAAAAACGUACACGAAUCCACGCAAACCAACUACAGCCUUGUGAAGCAGACGUACAAGAGAGUGGCGGUGGAAACCUGUGGUGGGGAACAUAGUUGGCUCAGAAGCUUGGAAGACAGUGCUGCACAACCCAACCAGUCCAAGUCAGGGAGGAGAGGGAGCACCCUCAGGGCAAAUACCAGGCUGGAGAUAUUUCUGCCCAAACCUGACAACCUCUGAGGGAUUGAUGUGCCAGGAUUAGGGGAAGCUAGAUUUCACACAUAAUUGCUCGGGUUUGGAUUCGGCUCAACAACCUUGUUGAAAAAUACUAUAAGUCAUUUAGCAGUCAAAAGCCAGCAAUUUAAUGUUUUGUUCAUGACUUGUGCUCAGGUCUUUUCUGACUGGAGUCAGGCUAGGAAACUGGAAUGGAAUAUUACUUUUUGAAACAUCUACCACCCACAUAACCUACACAAAGAUAUCUGAACAAUAUUUACAACAACAACUUUAGUGAAAUGGAUAUAAAAUAGAGGCACAGCAUUGAUCCCACUUUUUCAGUCCGCUUAGAGAUGCACAGACUUUGGGUAUCGGCCGAAUAAUCAAAUAUUAUUGUUGAAAAAAAUAAACUUUGAGGAAGUGAUUGGGAUUGUUCUGUCGGUAAGAUAAUAUCAGGCUUUUGCAGCUUUUCAAAACAAAGAAUCAAUGGAUAUCAAUAAAAAUUGGCAUUGUUCUAGCUCAAUCUCAACCCCUCCGCCACAGUUGCACCAUCCCAACCAGUGUGUGAAAUACACACUCGCAGAGGGAAGGGCCUGUCAAAUAUGAAUUAGUCAAUUAUAAUAUUAUAAUACACCACAAGUACAGUUAUCGUCUUCAUCUUCAAGACAAAUCGUCCACAUCGAUGGUUGUUCUCUAAUUUGUUUCUGCCGUGUGACCACGUGCCAUGACCAGGCCUGGGUCGGCUUGAUUUUAAGGGGGACUGGAGGCGUCGGGGACACGAGUUUCGGAGCGGGGACCGGAGGCCAGGAGCUCGAGGCAGGCGAGCUGAUAGCUCCUGGGACCAAAUACGGAGUUUGUUUUGCGCUGCCAGAACGGGCUCCUCACAUCAAGGUAGUCGGGUCCGUAAUCUGGCAGCGGGUCCGCUGAGUCCCUUCGUGGUCGCGUCAUUCUGUCAGGGGAUGCGGGGAAGGCAGGACUCAAAUGCAGAGUUUAAGCAAAAAAUACUUUAAUAGUCAUAAACAUAAAACACAAAAUGGCCAAGGCUGGCAGGAACUAGAGACAUCCAGGACAAUAGACAAUGACGCGACAAGUGACAAGAGACACACACGGCUUAAAUACACUAGGGAGGUGCAGGUGAUUGGACACAGGUGGAAACAAUCAGACAAUCACAGGGGAUGAAGCAGAAACUACAAAAUAAGGCAGGAAAUAAAACCGCACCGUGACAGGUCGCUGCUGCCGCACCACAGCCAUGUACGUCACUCCACUAUAUUCCAAAUGUGGUAACUCUUGUCAUUUGUUGCCAACAUUUGCCAAAAUUCCCAAAGUUAAGGCUUCAAAGCGGAAGUCCAAAUACCAAUUAAUGACAUCACAGUGACUACGUCCUACGCCCGUGCGGCUUAACCACUAUAAAAAGAAAGUUUUGCUGCAGAGCUUAACAUAGCAUUUUAUUUGAUUUACGUUUGGUUUGUUUGUUCAGUCAAGCCCCAUUGAUAGAACGGAAAGAGAACAUUUUCUUGCAGAAAGAUGUGUGAAGAGGGUGAAAAAAUGAGUGACCCGAUGAUUUACCAUUCAAAUGCUUCACCAAACACUAAGAAAAUAUUGAAAUGCACCACCCAGGAGUACAAGGUUUACUCAGUUUGCUUGACACUCCAUCUUAACAGUACGGUGCAUGCCAGUGGUUUAGGUUCAACUUGAAAUGGAAUACCGGAUUCAUAAAACAGUGGACUUAAGAAUGGUGUGGAGGAUUUGGGGAACAGAAAAAUGGCUGAUGUAUACAUCAUGUAGGUGGUCUGCUUCAGUGUGACUAGUUUUGGGCUAAUGGUCCACGGCGCCAAAAGAACACUUAAAGCCCAGGAAGAGUGCCACGGAGGAAUGCACAUGGCCUGUUUGAGUCUGCAGAGCCGUACACAUGGAAGUGAGCUUAUUCAGAAUGUUUGGGGAAUCAGUAUAUCAUUAAAAAGAGUUAAGAAAUGACUAAAUAAAAGUUAAGAACUUAACAUUUUUGAUAGUUGGAUAGUUCACAGUUGGACCAUCUGCCUCCUAUGUACUCUUUAUACUGUUACCAUUGUUAUCAGUGAAACAUUCCAGGUUCAUCAUCUUAGCAGGGAAAGAAGUCCUAAGACAACCAAUAAAGAAAAUAUCAGUACAGUCUAAGAAUAGUACAUUCAUGUGAAAUGAAGCCCAGCUUUGAUUUGUUGUCAUAUAAACAAAAGAAAAAAAACAUUCACACAGGAUUAUUCUCUUUGCAGGCAUUUGAGUGAGUGACCACUGCGGCCAUACUUGGCGUAGUAACUAGGCACACACUUUUCUAUCUGGACCAUAUUUAGGCCAGUAGAUUCCUGACCCAUUAGUUUUGAAUGGAAACCUAGAUUCUCAGGGAUUUCAGUAAGUUUGAAAAAGAGUAGUUAGAAAAAGGUUUUUAACCCUCCCGGCGUGCUCACUUCCUAGUACGUAUCAUACGAGUCAGGCCGUGGCGCCUUUGCAAAACACUGAAUAGGCUCAUGCUGGGAAGUGUGGAGGUGCUCAGCCCCUGCAGAUGUAUUUGACGCACCUGUAGCACACAUGUGUUUUACAGUCCUUGUUUAUGAGGCAGAUCUGACACCUCUUCUUCUUACUUCCCCUGUCUGGAGCGGCACCAGCGGCCUGACCGAAGGCCACAGAGGCUUUCAAGGCACCGUACUACUCAUUUUUUGAGGGAUUUUCAAGGAUGCUUACCCCAACGAUUUCACGUACACUGUCGCCACCCUCCCACCAUGCAUCCUGUUACCGUGGUAACCCUUAUUCCCUUGAAGGGAACAUAGCCCACUUGCCAUGGUGAAUGAUGUCCCUGAGAGUCCCCUAAACUAACACGUUUUGAAUUCAUCAAACAAUUUUUAGUAUUUUAUUAGAAUAUGGAAAGCAGAAGAUAGGCAGAACUUAGAAAGUACACUUAAAUAUCAAUUUUUUAAUCACAAUUAAUAUUAUUAGAGAUAUUCAGCGUAUUUUAUUCAUAUGGUUAAGCCUUAGUAAUUAUCCACUAUAGUUUAAUCUCAGACAAGUUAAUCUCAGGUUCUACUCUACUUUGUAUUCAAAUAAACACAUGAAAAUGACAUGCUUCCCCGCUUAAGGCUGUUACUAACUAUGACUAUACCUUAGCACUAAGUUUAAGUGCCCAGACCACGGGCUGGACUUACAAAUGUGUGGCAAACUUCAAACAUUUUUUAAAGGAACUGCAACACAAUGUUUCUUAAUUUCUUAACCAACAUCCAAUAUAGAUGGAGUAGUUAUUCAAAUGAGGCAGUGCUAUAGAAAUGAAAAGCUCCUAAGGCAUUAAGAUCCAUUUGCAGGUGUAAUUUAUCCCUACGGAGAACAUUUUUUUCCUCUUUCUUUCUCAGCACUAACAGACCCAACGGUGACAAAUUAAUUCUACUUUCCCUCUCAGAGUUACAUAUCCUUUAUGUUUCAUGUGCAGCUAACCUUAAAAAAAGGCUGCUUUCUUUCUGGCAGCAUUGUGGCAUUCUACAUAAUGUCAAAUCAAGAUCAAACUACACACAAAGAGCACAUUCCACAUUAGAGGUGUUUCAGUGAGAUUAUUGUUAGUCAUCUAUUAGACAUCCCAGGUUGAACAAAGCACAGGAGGCACGCCAGAGACAGCAUCAUUAGCAAACAUAAAUGAUCUUGAAGCGGACAUUGACCCAAGCGGGAAAACUUCACCGGUUGAAGUGCAUUAAAAAUAUAAGGGAACGAGACAUGCAUUCUCUGCCCAGGAGACUACAGGUCACACAACAUAUUUAUGUUAAUCAUGUAUUAUUACAUAAGGCAUGGUUAGUGCCCUUUGAAGAAAUUUAGAGCAACACUAUGAGAGCAAUAACGUGUUCUUAUAUCGGUACCUAGUGUGUUGGUUUUUCUCUAUUCUAAUGAGAACUUUAGUGCUAUUAGACAAAUUAGUUUGUGUUAUCCCAGGAAGACUGCCAUGGAAUAUAUGAGGCCAGUAAGCUUUUGACACUAUUCGAUGUUGUGUUGUUCCGAGAGAUGGAAAUGAAUGGUAUUGUGUAAAUGUCAGCGGCGGAGGUUUUAAAAAAAUGUGUUGCCAACAACGCCACCUAGGUAAGCGCUAAGAGCCUGAGGAACUCAAAAUAAAUAAUUAAAAACAAGGUUUGUUUGUUUUGGGGAGAGCAGUGGAACAAUGACCCAAGAGGAGACAGGGGCGGAAAUACUAAUAAAAAAUGAUUUAUUUUAAUACAAUUAUUCAAAUAUAUAGGAAAGCUAAAAUAGUCUGUUCAAAUUUAUUACCGCAACAGAGCGAAGUCCUCUUCUGCUGUUCUGCUGCAGCUGCUAUGUUUGCUUCUGCGUCUGCUGCUGCUACUGCUGCUGCUGCUGCUGCUGUUGUUGUUGUUGUUGCUGUGGUGUGCUUUUCCCCCAUUUCUUUUUCCUUCAGUGUCCCGUCUUCCUGUUUAAAAAGACAAGUCCCACCCCUGGCCUUUCCCCAUUGGUCCAUUGACCAUAUGCCACUAAUCGGUAGCUUGUCACUGGGGACGAUUGUUAAUUGAUGGAGGAUUCAAAGCAAACCAAAACUCAAAACACAAUAAAUCGUUAAUCAUCAAACAUGCAAACAAUCAUAAAUCAAUAUAUCAUAAUAAAACAUGCAAUCAUAAAUCAUAAAAUAUGCAAUCAAUAAAACAUGCAAUUGUCCUCAAUCGUCCACCCUGUGACAUAAAAGCUAAGUAGGCAUCUGGAUGCAGUGAGUACCAGUGUUCAGUUUAACUAUAUCUAAAGACAGAUAGGCGUCUAGCUUCUCUGAAUGUUUAUAAGGCAGACGUACAGUAGGUAGAAGUGAACCGACUGAAGAAGGAGGCCUUCCGGGUUAUGAUAUCCAGUGGGACUCCGGAGGCAGUUGCAGUGUACCGACAGGCUCGAAGGGCAGCAGCCUCUGCCGUGAUGGAGGCAAAGCAGCGAAUAUGUCAGGAGUUCGGGGUAACUAUGGAGAUGGACUUUCGGUCGGCACCAAAGUGCUUAUGGAAGACCAUCCGACACCUCAGGAGGGGGAAACGAGGAAGCAUCCAAGCUGUGUACAGUAAGGAUGGGACCCUGUGGAGGUUAUCAGGCGCUGGAAGGAACACUUUGAGGAACUCCUGAAUCCAACUACUUCGCCCUCUUUGGUAGAGCCGGAGCUGGAGGCGGAGGAGGGAUCAUUGUCAAUUUGCCUGGUGGAGGUCACUGAGGUAGUCAAACAACUCUGCAGUGGCAAAGCCCCGGGGAUUGAUGAGAUCCGUCCAGAGAUGCUAAAAGAAAUGGGUGUUGGGGGGCUAUCUCGGAUGACACGUCUCUUCAACAUUGCAUGGAAGUCUGAGACAGUGCCUAAAGAGUGGCAGACCGGGGUGGUGGUACCCCGCUUCAAAAAGGGGGACCAGAGAGUGUGUGCCAAUCACAGGGGUAUCACAGCCUCCCGGGUAAAGUCUACUCCAAGGUGCUGGAAAGGAGGGUUCGGCCGAUAGUCGAACCAAGGAUUGAAGAGGAAUAAUGCGGUUUUCGUCCUGGUCGUGGAACGACUAACCAGCUCUAUACCAUGGCCAUGGUUCUCAGCAGGAAACCGGUGGAUUGCCUACUCCAGGUAGGGAAUGCGUCCUUACCCCAAGUGAAGGAGUUCAAGUACCUCGGGGUCUUGUUCACGAGUGAGGGGAAGAUGGAGUGUGAGUUUGGCCGGAGAAUCGGAGCAGCGGGGAGCGGUAUUGCACUUGCUUUACCGCAUCGUUGUGACGAAAAGAGAGCUGAGCCGGAAGGCUGUGAAGAAUUGCAAUGGAUCUGAAGACCUGACCGGCGGUAUACCGGUUGAACCAUUUAUAUUCCAUAAUAGAUGCUUACUCCAUGCUGCCGGGUUCUGGGAGACCAGGCAAUAUAGUCCUAAUUUUUCAUUGGUCCAUUGGUCUGGGAAUAAUACCCAGACGAGAGGCUGGCAAUGGCCCCAACCAGCGAGCAAAAACCCUUCCAAUAUUGUGACGUGAGCUGUGGUCAAUGGUCGGAAACAAUAUAUUUAAGGCGGGUAUGUAGCAGAAAGCCAUACGAUUCCCACACUGUGGAUGCUUUGUUUUGUUUUUCAUUUUUUUUCACAUUUCUAUUUUUCACAUUUUUGGUGGGGUAUUUUACAAUAAUACUGAAGCUGAAGGGAAUUUUUUUAACAAUCAAAAACAUUUACUUCUCUUUCCAUCUUUGAAAUAAAAUUCAAACUGGCAACACGAAAAUGAACUAACUAAGACUGCAUACAUCCGUGAGUCAGUCAAUGUAACAAGAGAAACUAAAAUCAAAAACACUCAGCCAAAGCCUGCAAGUUGAAAACGUUUUUCUGGCUAAAGUGGUCCCAUCCACCAUUCAGUGACCACAAUGAACCUGAGAAAUGCUCCUCAGCAUCUGGCGAGUGAGAAUUACAGUACCUUUCUCCAGUGUCCCCGGGGCUCAGGGCUCCAGUAAUGAUCAGUCCCUGCCAAACACAAAUGAGAUUCUUUAACAGAACGGUGCUGGACAAAACCCCCCAGAGCACACGCAAACCCAGAGCAACAAUAAAUAUUAUGGUUGUUGAAUCUCUGCUGGACACCAAACUGACCGCUGGAAGUAAUACAGAAGUAACUCAGCACCCACGAUGUCUGUCUGAGUGUUCAUGUGUGUGUGAGAAUGUGGUGCAUAAGCGCAGCAAUUGCUAAAACAGCCAUCGUGGUCCAGUUCCAAAACGUGAAUAAUAAGACUUGGGUUGUGAAAUAUAUCCUGUUAACACAUAUACGUUCUGCUCCAAUCUGCCUCCAAAGUGUGAUUAUCUCUCUUUUAAAUGCAAUUCAACCGACCUGAGUGGGGAGCACGGCCGUCCUCCAAUCAGAGGGUUGGCGGUUCAGUCCCAGGCCCGGCUAAUCCGCAUGUUGAUGUGUCCUUGGGCAAGACACUUUACCCCAACAUUGGUUCUGUAGCUGCGACUGCAGUGCGUGAAUGUUAGUUACUGAUGGGCAGGUGGCUCUGAGUAUGGUAGCUCCUGUCAUCAGUGUGUGAAUGGGUGAAUGGUGUCAUGUAGUGUUAAAGUCCUUUGAGCGGUCGGAAGACUAGAAAGGCGCUAUACAGUCCAAAGUACAGUCCAUUUACCAUUUCUUUUUGCUGAGUCUGUAGGAGUCCUAACUGUGUUACUUAAUAAUAUUGAUUGGGAUAAAAAGAAAUACAAUUGUAAGAACUCUAUUACUUGCAAGCCAGUGCACUUUAGUGUAUGAUAAAGCUGCACAAAUACAGUGCCUUGCGAAAGUAUUCGGCCCCCUUGAACUUUUCGACCUUUUGCCACAUUUCAGGCUUCAAACAUAAAGAUAUAAAACUGUAAUUUUUUGUGAAUAAUCAACAAGUGGGACACAAUCAUGAAGUGGAACGAAAUUUAUUGGAUAUUUCAAACUUUUUUAACAAAUAAAAAACUGAAAAAUUGGGCGUGCAAAAUUAUUCAGCCCCCUCAAGUUAAUACUUUGUAGCGCCACCUUUUGCUGCGAUUACAGCUGUAAGUCGCUUGGGGUAUGUCUCUAUCAGUUUUGCACAUCGAGAGACUGGAAUUUUUGCCCAUUCCUCCUUGCAAAACAGCUCGAGCUCAGUGAGGUUGGAUGGAGAGCGUUUGUGAACAGCAGUUUUCAGUUCUUUCCACAGAUUCUCGAUUGGAUUCAGGCACUGUAAAUAUUCCAGUACAUACAGUUCAUAAAACUGGUAUAGGUUCCUGGUUCCUGGCAUGUUGUUUUUGUCAGGCUACAAUGGCGGACCCAAAUGCACAACUCAGGAAACAGGGAUAAGGGUAAUCGGUUUAUUGCUCCCAGAGAGAUGCAGGCAACUAUACAGGUCCAACAGGCAGGUAAACGUGGUCGAAGAAACAGGCAAUAGUUCCAGGUACACGAGAAGACAAAACAAGAGAACGCUGGAAAGUGAGUCGACAUGGAGCUACAACAAUCGGGGGAGGGGAAGACAACUAGACACAGGUGAGAAACAUCAGAGUGAAGACUGGCAAUCAACAGGCAGGAAUGGUAAAUGGUAAUGGUAAAUGGCCUGUACUUGUAUAGCGCUUUUCUAGUCUUCUGACCACUCAAAGCGCUUCAACACUACACGACAUCAUUCACCCAUUCACACCCAUUCAUACACUGAUGACAGGAGAACCAUACACAGUGACACCUGCCAUCAGUAACUACCAUUCACACACUGUAGUCGCAGCUACAGGAGCAAUGUUGGGUGUCAUGUAAAGUGUCUUGCCCAAGGACACAACGACAUGCGGGUUAGCCGGGCCUGGGAUCGAAGCCACAACCCUCUGAUUGGAGGACGACCGUGCUCCCCACUCACCCACAGUCGCCCGUGACGUGACGUGAAUAGGGACGAAGACAAGUGACGUGAAUAGGGACGAACAGUGGGUGGAAAAUAAGACAGGAAGUGCAUGGAAACAGACGGAAAACACAAUAAGAGCAGAGGAUGAUCUUACAGUUUUUACAGGUCUUUUCACUUAAUACCCCACUUAAAUAUAAAAUAAAAAUGUGUCUAAGUGUCUCCUAUCAAAGUCAUUUAAAAUGUGAUGCUUUAGCCUACACCAACACUCAUUUUAAUACUAAUUAAAAACAAAGAAACAUUGCGUUUUGCUCAGCCAACAGAAAGAAGGCAAAGGCCCGAAAAACAGAUGGAGGGCCACCUCCACCACCUCUGACAGAGCCUGAGGAGCUGGCCCUCAGCCUAAACAGUGGUUGCCCGGUGGCUGAAGGUAUCCCUGGGGGAAGCUCUUCUGAACCUGUCACCCCCCAGGACACAAGUGACUACAUCAGAUGUAUAGAAGUAUACACUUCUUUUAAAAAACAUUUUCAAAAGUUUGGGGUCACCCAGACAAUUUCGUGUUUUCCAUGAAAAGUCACUUUUAUUUAUCAAAUGAGUUGGAAAAAUGAAUUGAAAAUAUAGUCACAAUAUUGACAAGAUUAGAAAUAAUGAUUUUUAUUUGAAAUAUUCAUUUUGUUCUUCAAACUUUGCCUUUGUGUGAAAGGAUUUUCUAUUAGUCCCCUUCAUCGAGUGCAGGCGCAGUAAUAGGAAUAUGUGUCCCAUCUAUGCAUCAUUUCACAUUUGGAAGCCCUGCAAAAUGACAGCUAAUUAAGCUUCUGAGGUCACAGCAGAAUGUACAUCAUAAUUUAAAAAAAUAUAAUAUAUGAUUUCUCACCUGCAAUCCUGUGGAAUUCCUCUUUGAUGGUUGUAAGAGGUUUGUGUCCGGGAAACACCACCAUCACGGGUAACAGGUGUUUCAGUGCGAGGGGAACUUUCCUCACAGCUCUACAAACUGGUGCCUUGCCAAAGUGCUCUGCAUCCCUGAUGUUGUAAAGAAAACUACCAUUUGCAAAAAAACGUAGCGCGACGCAUAAGAUUUGCUCCAAUGUGAGUGCACGUCCGCGGUGUGUGAGGUUGGUGAUAUACGGCCGGAGAAUGUCAGUGAGAUAAAUGAUACCUUGUGAGGAAAAGCGGGAGCGUUCUAACAGAAAUUCCUCUGGAAAUGAUAAAGCAUCUAAUCUGGGUCGGAAGACUCUCUCGCGAUGUAAAGCAUUUCGAAUCACUAAGGCUUCGAUGUCCAUUGGAUUCGGUAGGAAUGGGCAAUCCAUGUCUACCAGCUUUCUUCAUGUGGGAGGAGACAGUAAACGCCGGGUUUCUUAUAGUAAACCUGCCAGCGAGCAGGUUACGUUCACAGAGUCUGUUACCAUGGUGAUUGACUGAGAGUUUCAGUUACCUCUCUAUCUGGAACGGAUAACUCAGAGUCUUCCUGAUCUCAGGGUUAACUUACUCUGAGUUUUCACAUAACCCGCUUUCUGGAAUACCCCCCAGGUGUCACUGUGUAUGGUUCUCCUGUCAUUAGUGUCCCUUUUUUCCCUCUUGGAAGGGUUUUUUCAUUUUUUGGGGAGUUUUUCCUGUGCCGAUGGUGGGUUUUGGGGCAGAGGAUGUUGUAUGUGUACAGACUGUAAAGCCCUCUGAGGCAAAUUUGUAAUUUGCGAUUAUGGGCUAUACAAAAUAAAAUGAAUUCAAUCAGUGUAUGAAUGGGUGUGAAUGGGUGAAUGAUGUCAUGUAGUUUUAAAGCGCUUUGAGUGGUCAGAAGACUAGAAAAGCGCUGUACAAGUACAGGCCAUUUACCAUUUACCAUUCAUGGUGGAAUGCACUUAUUGUAAGUCGCUUUGGAUAAAAGCGUCAGCUAAAUGACAUGUAAUGUAAUGUAAUGUAAUGUAUAGGAAAAUUGGUGGAGUUGGUGGAGACCAACACCCAAGCUAAAAGAACACAUUUGGACACAUUUGUCAGGUUGAACACCUAAGAGAUUUCGUGGAAAUUGCUGGAACCUGAAAAAGUGUGUCUUAGCUGAGAAAGGAUUUGCUUGUAUGCAUGCGCGUGAGAUUGCACUUAGAAUUAUUUUUCUGAAAUUGUUAAAUACAGACAAAAACUGAUUUGUUCUUGUGUGGGUUUUAUAUCCAAUAUGUCAAUAAUCAUUGUGUUUUAGAUGUCCAUCCUGUGCGUCCUAAGAAUAAACAAAUGUCAGUAAUGUUGUUGUUGUUGUGCUCUGUACAGUGUUUGUUUUUCAUCUCCUCACGGAACAAAAUGUAACCUGUUUGUCUGCUGGCUCGUUGGUUAUACUGGAGAUGGAACAGGUACCUGCUACGGUCAGCUGGCCUAAAAGAGUGACCAGUAUGACAGUAUGAACUGUCACAUGCGACAAACUGUAUUCUCCCAAUUGCAUGCUGAACAAAAUCAGAAUCUAUGUUGUUGCUGUUAGAUUUAGUUCCUGCCUGUUAGUGAGUGAUGUUUCAUUGCACGGGUCUGCAAUAUGGCACAGUUUUGCUGGAUUAAAUUAUCCCGUUGUUAUGUUUUUUUAUUUAACUAUGAUAUACACUAUGCACUAACCUUCAUGCACACACGACUGGAUUCCAACAAAAAACAGCAACCCACAAACUCAUCACGCACAUGCAAGUAUCCACAUUGAAAAAUGCUCUGGCAUGGCUGGAAUAGAUAAUGCCUCCAUAUCCCCUCGACACCCCCCCACAUCUCCCCACCUCCGCUGCAGUGACGCGUGUGUUGCAGGAAUCCCCUCCUGGCUCUCGUUCACGUCUUUAAGCAGCCGUUCGCUGUGGUCUGGCAGCGGGGCCCUGCGACAUUUCUUCCUUGUCAGGGCUGUUGCGCCAUAACAAGCUGAGCAGUGGAUUUACUGCAGGAGCUUCUUUGUAGACCAGCCAGGCUAAUGGACAAGGGGCCAGCACUGGAAAAUACCCUACAUUUUGCUGAAAAAAAACCCUCUUUUGACACGCCUGCAACUCUUCAGGGAUCGUGGAAGCCGUGAGGGAGCCCGGCCUGGCUCAUGUUCUGCGCCGGUGUAUGCGUAGAAUGUACAGUUGGGUCUGAAUGAAUGAAUGUGUGUGUGGUUGAUGAGGGAGGAUGUGAGCUCUGGAGACAAAUUAACUGCUUGGCUAAACUCUCUCUCUCUCUGUGUGUUUGAGCAUCGUUUCCCCUGGUAACGGUAAAAACAUGUGUACUCUUUUUCUUAACAUAAAAAUUGAGCACUGGCAGGGGAACUAUGCGUGUGAGUGUGUUGGUCCGUAACCCUGUGCAGGCACAGCAGUGAGCUCAUAUGGAGUUGAUUUGACCGCACUCUCCGGAAUGACGGCAGGAAUGACUGCCAUGAAGAUGAUGAAAUGAUGACGGCUUAACUUGAAAUCACUUAGUUCCUGCUCUGGAGCGAUGAGCAGUGGCGGUUAACACCCUUCAGCUGUGACGCUGGCCUUCUGACGUCCUUGCAAUCCAUGAAAACAGAGUUCACCCUUCAUUACGUCUUUCUUAAAUGGAUGGAAAGCAUUUUGGACAGCAUGUAAGUCCAUGUAACAAAUAACUCUCCAUAAAGGUUGCAUUGUGACACAUUGGAGAGGCAGUGGGCGGGGUCAAGUCUAACCAUGUGCAUUGUAUGUCAAAGGCCCUUAUUGCUGCAGUCCUUAAAGGUUUAGAUGCACUGUAAUUAUUACGUUGAUUCCUUUUGUGCAUGUCCUAAAUAAUCAAUUUAGCUUUUUCUUAAAAAUAUCACCUUUUAUAAUGUGUUACUUGGUGUUUGUUAAGUAAAUGUUAUCAUUCACACCAAGUAAUAUCUGCUAAACCAGAGGUUUUCAACAGGGGGUCCCGAGGGGUACCGCAUGGGGGCGUCGCAAAAUUUUUGGUUGAUAAGACCUUUUUUUUUUUUCAACCGAUUUUUUCCCCACAAAUUGAAAGAUUUUCACAAUCAAAAUCAGAAUUGUAUUUAUUGUCUUUAAAUACACAUUAAGAUGAAUCCAACAUAUUGAACCGGAUGGUUAAUUGAUGAUAACCAUAAUUGAAAAUAAAAGAUGGCAGACCAAACUCCGUAGAAUCCCAGGUCAAAAGUUUUGUUCAUUUGAAAAACGAAUGUGAACCGGAAAGUUUAAGUUUUGUUGUUGAACAUUGCAAAAUACAAUAAUGUAUUCAAAAUAAAAAUAAUUGGACGAUAAAUAUUUUUGGGAUGAAUAUAGUUUUGACUCGCUCUAUAUAUUUUUUGAAUAACAUUUCUUUUUUUAAUCUUCACUUACAUAUUUUUUUGGAUAUUUACUGUAUUAUUUUUUUGGUUGCAGAUUUCAUAUUUUCAGAUUCUAAACUUAUAUUUUCAUUUUCCGAUUUUUUUUUCUCACAUUCACACUUUUGACCCUGAUGUGGUGUAGGGGGCGGGGCAUCAACUAGGAGGGGCGUGUAAUCAUGAGUGACAGCUUUCUCAACCGCAUUGCCUUGAGGAGACGUAGGCAUGCAAGACUUAAGAAUCAACCCUUUUUUGUCUUGAUGUCUUCCAGUCAGGACCUUCAACAGCAAAAUUUUAGUACAACCAUAUGUCUGACACUGAAUUGUUGCAAUUUUUGAAGGAGUUCCCCUUUUAAAAACACCAAAACCUAACAUGUUACUGAUGAUACUGAUAGUAAUAUUCCAAUCUUAAGGCAGUAUAAGAUAUUGCAAAAUAUGUCAUUAGCUUAAUGUCGCCACCCACAUCAUUCUCCCAUUCAGCUUGAUGCUGCUUCCCCCUGACUCCAUGAAACGAAACCAAAUGUAAAGUUAAUUCAUAAUCACAUCACAAAACAAAAGGAGAAAAGCAAUACAGUUCGGAUUCUUUGUGUAAUUAUUUUGAAUGUUUGUAACAUUACUGACUUAGUGAUAUUUCAGCUUCAUAAAUUUUCUAAUUGAGCUCACUUUGAUCCAUUUUUGCUUAUAAUAUGAAGUAUAGCGCAGUGGCUUCCGCUAACAUGAGCUGGUCGGUUGAGAUAUUUGUUAUAUAUGUAUUUUGGUACGUUGAGGUUCAUAAGUAACAAUACAUGCACCCAAGGGAAUUCAGGCGAUGGGAAGAGCCUGGUUCAGGGGUGGUAUCACAAUUAUGAUGUGAUGGUAUAUAUGAAAUCCUAGUUGGCCCAUACAUUAUGAAGGGAUAUGCUGAGCCGCAUAAGAUAUAUCAGAUGUGUCCUCCAAAUCGGCUGCGGCGGCUCAGCGGGAACGGGAGAGCGCUGCGGCAGGCCCAGCGGCAACGGGAGAGCGCUGCGGCAGGCCCAGCGGCAACGGGAGAGCGCUGCGGCAGGCCCAGCGGCAACGGGAGAGCGCUGCGGCAGGCCCAGCGGGAACGGGAGGUCGGUGCUUCCUAUUGCCAGGGCUCCUCCUGGGAUUUAGGAGAUCCCGGAGCUCGAGGCAGGCCCUCUGAUAGCUCUUGGGACCGAAUACAAAGUUUGUCUUCCGCUGCCAGAACGGGCUCCUAACAUCCACGUAGUCAGGUCCGUAGUCUGGCAGCGGGUCUGCUGAGUCCCUUCGUGGUCACGUCAUUCUGUCGGGGAUGCGUGGGAGGAAGGCAGGACUCAAGCGCAGACUUCUUAAACAAAAGCAACUUUAAUCGUCCAAAGGGCAAAAGCAAAAGGCCAACAGGCAAAAACGCACACAAACCAGGGGAAAAACAGAAGGCAGGAACUACGAACAUCCACGACGAUAGACAAUGGCGCAACAAGUGACAGGAGACACACACCGCUUAAAUACACUAGGGAGGUGCCGGUGAUUGGACACAGGUGGAAAGAAUCAGACAAUCACAGACGAUGAGAGGACAAGGCAGGAAGUGAAGUUACCCAGGGAGACAAGAAGCAGAAAACUACAAAAUAAGACAGGAAAUACAACCACACCGUGACACCUUGACUCACUAUUGACCAGUUCACAUUCUUCACAUCCUCCACAAAACAUCCACAUCUUCUUGUAAGUGCUUGUAUGACCUUUUGUAUGAAAUCCGACAGGCUGCUAUUGAGACUUUACUUUUUAUUUAAAGUGCUGUUACAAUUUGAUCACUGAAACCAAGAACUACUGAUACUGCUUUCGAGCGCUGUUCGAGGGUAUUUAUAAAAAUUACAAAUCAUGCCGGAACAGAUGUAAUCACGAGACAAACAGAUAUUCAACAACUCAGAGUCUCUUAGAUUGUUCUGUGUCUUGCUGUAAUAGCCUGGCUGUAUACAUUAUUCUCUUAAGAUUCAUGAGAUAUUUCGCUUUCUCUUAAUGAGCCUUCCCGAUCUUUAUCUCUGAAAUGAAAGCAUCUGUCGGGGUAAAUGAAAAGGCGAGGGAGGAGCCGUGAUUCAUGUUGGUCAUUGAUGUUUUUCUCUGUCAUUGGUCAGCACUCCUUCACUGCUCGCUGACGCUCCGUUGUAUUGCUCUGAAAACAAUGAGACAUCAAACAAGAUGUAAGAGGGAGAAAAGGUCUGAGACCUGAGAAGUUUUGCAAGGCGGUUAAUUAUGUUUCACUCUGUUGCUAAAUCAUGAUUCAGUCUGUUGCUAAAUAUCAUAUUACAGGUAUUUAUCUGGUUUUUGCAGCCUUUUAAUUCGUUAUUAAAUAGGAGCUGUGAAUCACUGCUGUGCUUAUUGGCCUGGAGUCUACCGCUAAAAAGCACUGUUUCGCUCAGUGACCAUUUUAAUUGAGUUACCUUUGAAGAAUUUGUGCCUCGUCUGAAAGGAAAAGUCUUUUUUCUGGAUGCACGAGAUAAUCAGAAACCGACAUGCUGCCUGAAUAGUGGAAUAUGGAUAAGGCAGUUUCUCUGUUUGAUUUUUUUUAACAUAUUGUGAAUAUGACAAAACUAGGAUAAGUUUUAAUAAAAGUAUUGUGCAUAAUUAACAUGAUUGAUAUUCAAUGAUCCGUCAUUGAUAGAUGUCACCUCAGCAGGGCUGCAGCUCCAUCCAUUACUGCAUGGUGGCUGCUGUCUGCAGAGUCCUCCUUCAAUACUGGACCAAUUAAAAAAAAAUCUAUUCCAGAUUAGUCACACAAAACAUGGAAAUAUGCUCCAGGUUGAGCACAACCAUUUAUUAGUCUGUUGCUUGACAGUUCAUGUGUAUAUGUGUGUUUUUGUUUCCAAGCUGAGUGUGUCUUGCAGGAAGGCUCUGGCGGCAGUCUAGACGACUGAUCCCCCAUCCGUCCACUCCCAGGAUCCAAAAGUCCAAAAUAUUGCAUCACUUUAAUGUGUCCUCAAAAGUGGUUGACAUUGUCUGACGAAAGAAAAGGAGCGGCCCACUGAAGCUUGAUCAAAGACAUUCUAUGAGCCCAAGUUCCCCUGUGUAUUUUUCAGUUUCACAGAAAAUGUUUGCUUGAUUCUCACUAUAACUACGUAGUGACAAUAAAGUAUACUAUAACAUAGAUUAAUUUGAAAUGUCAGCUCUCAUUUUGGGAAUUACCUGUAAGCAUCUACUUAGACAUGAGUUGGUUUCACCAUACAAGUAGGCUGCCUUCAUGUGUUGAACUUUAAGUACCUCCCCUCCCCUAGAACCCAAUAAAGACACUUAAUAAGGUUUAAAUCAAAGCAAGGGAACCUGAACUGGUUUCAAACAGGACACAAGCGACCACAUUGGUGAAAGUCAAGUGAGUGACCCCCCCGAACCGUCCACGCUGACUUCCUCCCUUACGGCCAUCAAACCACUUCAUAGGUAAAUUGAUCCCAGUUCUGGCUUCUGGUAGAAAAUCGGGGGCACUUAAUGCAAACAUUAAUGCAUACAUUCAAUACAUUCAGUAUGCAUUAAGUGCUCAAUCUAGUUAUUGAUGAAACAUUCUCUGCUGAUAGAAAGGCUUAAAUAUGUACUGCAGCAUGGGAAUAAUAAAACAAACCUGAACCACUAAAACAACAUUAUUGUUGAGUUUCAUCAUGGAGCACUGGAGCUAAUUACCACUAAGGAAGCAGAGUGAUGUUCUUUUUCAUUAAAGACUAACUUAACAAAGAAGAAUACGUCUGUAAAACUCUGUCACAUCUGCUCUUUUCUCCCUUGAAUAACACUAUUACAAGAGCAGGUCCGGUUGCUCACAUGGCGUCGCGGCAUCGUGGGAUUGGACUCAGUGAGCUGGUGACAUUUAUAAAUUAUAAUGGUAAAGAGAGCAUUACUAGUUAAACCACAGGUACGCUUGCAAUGCAGACAGUAGAUGAUUGGUACCUCUUCUGGCUUUGUCCCAUCGGCGGGACCCGCUGAGGUCUGCUGGGGAGCUUUGUGACAGAAAUAUGCUGCAGCUCGUGGGAAUCUACUCCUGACGGAAUGUGGCCAUGCGGAAGAACUCGGGAAUCCUAAACAUGCUGCUUACCUGUACGGUGCAGCCAGCAAGAAAAGACUGCAAAGCACGACAAUAGAAAAGACCUGAACAAGCUGUGUUACUCUCACUCCAUGUUCAUAUGAGAAGGAAACACAAAGACAAAGUCUAUUGAUUCUGUUGACCCAGCUAGAGGUCCUCAACUGAAAGAGCGGUCAAGGGUUCUGUUUCUACUCCAUACUCCAGUGGGAACAUGGAGCAUAUUGACUUUAAUGGACUUAUUAGCACAUGUUGGGGGAAAUAAUAUUGUCUCAGCGUACUUCAAAGACUAGAAAGGGAGUCCGGUUUCAGCAGUCUGACUGUUGGUGCCGUUGUGGUAUCAGGGAAGGCAGCAUGAGAGAGGAUCGAUGAAAAGAGUAAGGGAAUCCAUAGUGGCCACUCUAUUCAAACAAGAAUACAAAAAGUACAGCGUACUGUAGAAAAAUAAAUGAGAUCAAGCUUUAUCCCCCGUGGGACACCAGAGUUGAGAGGGGAACAGAACAAUCUUUGGACUGUUGUGCAACCACUUGAAUGCAGUUCUUAAUGAGCCUUUUAGUAAGCUAUUAUAAUUAAUAGUAAAAUGAAGCACUGACAUGAAUCCAUAGACGGGAAUAGAGGAAACCAAGAGAGCCAUUGACCUGAAUUGAUCUUGAUCUAUACAAACUUUACUUUUAAAUCUGGGGAAAAUCUCUACAGCCAGCCUGCAUGGAAUAGUGUAUAGACACUGAGUGUUUGUGUGUGUGCUGUUGGGAUGGGGGGUGGAUCAGACUAGUUGGGGUCUCAGCCCCAGAGCAGCGGUGACUUUAUUAAACAAACCUGAUGGUCGGAAUUUGUUUUCUGUAGCCCCUUCUCCUAACUCCACCUGCUGUCUGGGAAUGUUCACCAGCUGUGGGAACACACUCACAAACACACACAUACGUGGUGAUAAUGAAUAUAAAGGGUCCGAGGUUUACAGGCAACAUGAAACAUGAAGAUUUUCUUCAUCCAAUCUAGUUGUUAUGUGUAUAUAGGACGUGAUCGGUGUUCUGACUAGUCCUCAAUGUUGGUGAAUUCAAAACCAAUCACCCACAAAACCAAACUCAUCACAUUCCAUAUUCUGUAUGUACUCUAAUAUGAAAGCGUUUUUACAGUAUUUUACUGUUUUACCCCAGUAUUCCCAGGUACAAGGCUAAGUUGUGUCAAUGUUGUUUCCCCAGGCCUGCUUGUAUAUUCAGGGAGCAGUUGCCUGAAGAACAGUAAAAACAAACACAUUCCUGUGCAGUUGUAACAGGUGUGUGCAGCUACUGGUAGCUUGGUAGGAAGGCCAGUGCCUCCAUAGCAGUGUCACAACCUGCAAACACUGGUAGCCAGUGUGUUUUCCAUCAGGAGACUGUGAUAGCACAGGAGAAAUCGGCUCUUUGAUCCCAGCGCUGCUCGACCUCUUAGUGUUAUGUUCCCCCUAAGAGCGCUGAGAGGCGCUGAGAGGCAAGGUCGGAGGUAAAGAAUUACAUGUGCAAGGGUUGUCUAGCACCUUUUUUGUAAAAAAAAUUUUUUUCAAUAUUACAAUUCUACCUUGUUGCUUAGAUGUGUACUGAUGUGAGUAGUAACGUUGAAACAUGUGUUUUAAUAUAGUUAAAAGAGACAGAGACACAGAAAGGACUGGUUAUGGUGAGACAGAGACACAGAGAGGACUGGUUAUGGUGAGACAGAGACACAGAUAGGACUGUUUAUGGUGAGACAGAGACGCAGAGAGGACUGUUUAUGGUGAGACAUAGACGCAGAGAGGACUGGUUAUAGUGAGAGAGACGCAGAGAGGACUGGUUAUGGUGAGACAGAGACACAGAGAGGACUGGUUAUGGUGAGAUAGAGACACAGACAGAAGACUGGUUAUGGUGAGACAGAGACACAGAGAGAAGACUGGUUAUAGUGAGACAUUGGUUUAAACAUAAACCAAUGGGAACAGACUGAGAAGAGCAGCUUGUGCAUCCCAUUCUCUUCAUCUCUGCCACUAACUCAAGGUGGCACAGUAAGUUUUAAUUAUAAAACCAUUUACUACAUGCAUGGCGAGGAAAUGAUAGAAGCAGACGAUGUCUAACCCAGAUGUUUGUUCCAGUGUCAGUCUUGAGGAAUGUACGCAGUUGCCACAGGUCUAAACACUGCCCACUCUCUGUGGUGAGGAAGGGUUUAGAUUCCCAUUACAGGAUAUGUGUGUGUCUGGCCUAGAGUUCCCUCUGUGUGUAUGUCUGCAUAUGGCAUUAUUGCCAACUACUAACCCACUCCUGUCUGGUGUGAGGCGUGACUCAACGCACACAAACACAUACUCGAACACACAAAUAACACUUCUAGAACGGCGCAAUUCAUGCGCAUCAAACCUAAUAUAAGAUUAUCGUAGUAAAAUAUAACCAAUACCAUUAAAUUAGUAAUGCAGAAAUUGUGUUUGUGUGAGCCAUUGACCAGAAUUGAUCUUGAUCUAUACAAACUUUACUUUUAAAUCUGGGGAAAAUCUCUACAGCCAGCCUGCAUGAAAUAGUGUAUAGACAGUGUGUGUUUGUGUGUGUGCUGUUGGGAUGGGGGUGGAUCAGACUAAUUGGGGUCUCAGCCCCAGAGCAGCGGUGACUUUAUUAAACAAACCUGAUGGUCGGAACACAAAUAUAUAUAUAUAUAUAUAUAUAUAUAUAUAUAUAUAUAUA